rnacentral:rRNA from 1 species
CACGUAGGGCGCAAGCGUUGUCCGGAAUUAUUGGGCGUAAAGAGCUCGUAGGCGGUCUGUUGCGUCCGCUGUGAAAACUCGGGGCUUAACCCCGAGCCUGCAGUGGAUACGGGCAGACUAGAGGUAGGUAGGGGAGAAUGGAAUUCCCGGUGUAGCGGUGAAAUGCGCAGAUAUCGGGAGGAACACCGAUGGCGAAGGCAGGUCUCUGGGCCACUACUGACGCUGAGAAGCGAAAGCGUGGGGAGCGAACAGG